GAUGAACGCUGGCGGCGUGCCUAAUACAUGCAAGUCGAGCGAACAGACGAGGAGCUUGCUCCUCUGACGUUAGCGGCGGACGGGUGAGUAACACGUGGAUAACCUACCUAUAAGACUGGGAUAACUUCGGGAAACCGGAUCUAAUACCGGAUAAUAUAUUGAACCGCAUGGUUCAAUAGUGAAAGACGGUUUUGCUGUCACUUAUAGAUGGAUCCACGCCGCAUUAGCUAGUUGGUAAGGUAACGGCUUACCAAGGCAACGAUGCGUAGCCGACCUGAGAGGGUGAUCGGCCACACUGGAACUGAGACACGGUCCAGACUCCUACGGGAGGCAGCAGUAGGGAAUCUUCCGCAAUGGGCGAAAGCCUGACGGAGCAACGCCGCGUGAGUGAUGAAGGUCUUCGGAUCGUAAAACUCUGUUAUUAGGGAAGAACAAAUGUGUAAGUAACUAUGCACGUCUUGACGGUACCUAAUCAGAAAGCCACGGCUAACUACGUG
rnacentral:rRNA from 1 species